rnacentral:rRNA from 1 species
AUUCCAGCUCCAAUAGCGUAUAUUAAAGUUGUUGCAGUUAAAACGCUCGUAGUCGGAUUUCGGGGCCUGCCUGCCGGUCUGCCGAUGGGUAUGCACUGGCAGGCGCGUCCUUCCUUCCGGAGACUGUCCCUACUCUUAACUGAGCGGGGUCGGGAGACGGAUCGUUUACUUUGAAAAAAUCAGAGUGUUUCAAGCAGGCAGCUCGCUCUUGCAUGGAUUAGCAUGGGAUAAUGAAAUAGGACUUUGGUGCCAUUUUGUUGGUUUGCGUGUCGAGAUAAUGAUGAAUAGGGACAGUUGGGGGUAUUUGUAUUCCAUAGUCAGAGGUGAAAUUCUUGGAUUUAUGGAAGACAAACUAAUGCGAAAGCAUCUACCAAGGAUGUUUUCAUUG